GGUCUCUGGCUCUCCCUUAAACUGAGGCGCGACGGCGUGGCCUGAGGGGGCGCUCAGUACUCCCCGCCGCCUUGUUCUCUCUUAGCUCCACCACCCCAUCGGAAGUAAACAAGCGAAGCUAAGGCAACACGGAGGCUUGCUACGCUAAUGCGGCCUCAAGAACGGAUCCCGGUCCCCUUCCAACCAAAUGCACCCGCCCCGCCAAACAAAUUCAGAAGGCGCUUCCACUGUGCUGUGGGUGACCGAGGGCCCGCUGUCCCCGCCCCUCGGUCCCGCUCCCUUAGGAUCCUGCCUCGGGGGCUGGAGGUCAUGAGUUGCCAUUCUUGCCUGGGCCCCCGUUCGUGGCCUGUGGCCACGGCGACGGCCACACCAGCCUAGUUUCAUCUCAGGGUUUCAUCCACUCAGACGAGGUGAAAGGACUCCGUGUCUCCUCACCCCACCGUUUGGUGUGGCCCGCGGUUUCCAUGGCUCCCGGAAGCCAGGACCGCGUGGGCCGCUGAGGGUGGGGGAGCGCGGAGAGGCUCCUGUCUCCAGCCCUGCCCUGGGCGCCAGGCUCCAAGGGGGUAAGGCGAGGGGGUAAGUCGGGCCCAUCUUCCCAGCAGCCCUUCCCACAACGGGAACCCCGGAGUCCCUGCCUCCCGGUAAGGAAGCCGCUCUCAUUCUCUGAAACGGAGUAGGAGCCAUCUCCCAGAUUCCUCUCCAAAAUCUUCAGUUCAGUAGCUGUCCCGUGUCUCAGAUUCUACCAUUAGAGCUUCCUUCUUUUUGUCCCUGAAAGAACUCACACCUAGAAGAAAAAGAGGCAGAGUUACCAGAUAGGCACUUGGAAAAAGAUCUAACCCGAGGUGAAAUACGGGCGCAGGCCAUGGAAGAGCCCCGGGCAAGCCCCCAGAGUCUGCACAGGACAGAGCUUUGUCAGCUGGGCCACGUGCUUCCAGAAUCGGAAUCCUACGCAACUCUGUCACUCUAUACUGCCUCCAUCUACUGACUUAACUGAAGCAGAGUUUUGCAGAUGGGGACUCUGGCAGGGUGUGACAG